UUGUUGCAUAGUAAGUCAACUGUGUCAGAUCGAUUAACUCGGUUCAAUAGAAUUGUAAUAGGUUGAUGUUCGGUCAAAUGGCAGCUUGAAAACAACUACACUUGUCGGCCAUGGGUCGUUAGGCACAUGGAGCUUGCACAGGGAUGAGCUGGUCGUUGUGGACUUGGAUCGUGAUUGUUUGUUGAACACUUUAUGAUAUUACAUACUUAUUUACAUUGG
rnacentral:lncRNA from 1 species